rnacentral:lncRNA from 1 species
CUGGGAAUAAGCAGUCUGUCACGGAGCAAGCUUCAGGCAGCUGCUGCUGGUGGGCCUCAAAACUCCCUAUCUCCUAAGCUUGAACAUCAGCUGGGCCUUCCUCCUGUGGGGUUGGCCCUCCAGCAGGGGAGGAAGGCAAUCAUUCCCCAACAUCCUUCCCUUUGGCUCCCUCAACCAGACAUUGCUCCAGCUGGAAAAUGGGCCUGCAGAGCUGUCCGGCUCCCCUCCCUGCUGCCCUUUCACCUGACCGGGCAAAUUACCUGGUCAGCGGGACUACAUCUCUGGGCUGGUGGAAGGCAGACAGAAAUAGUGGGGGUGAGGGUCUGCAACUGGUCAGCCAGCCUGCUCUCCCUCCAGGCAGAACAGCUGAGGAGCCUGAGGGCAGAGAAGGGAUGCCACCUCCUCCGAGAGUGGCCUGGUGCCAGAAUCACGCCACGCUNGGAGCCACGAAUCCCUCUGACAGCAGUAUCUCCAGAACUCACACAGGGUUUGGCACGUAGUAGACGCUCCUGGAGGUUUGCUGGGUGCUUGACUCAGGUUGCAGAGCUGGAAGAAGUCAACUCAGAUAGAAGGGAAGAAGUGUGGAAGACAGACUGUACCUUGCGGUCUGCAGGGCCUUUCCCCAGCCAGGAACUGCUUAGCCUGCACAGGAAUUUCACAGGGCCGCCGAAUCCUCCUGCCACGGAACCACCCCAUCCACCUCCCUGCAUCUGA